GUGGGUAUGGCUCAGUGGUGGAGCACCUGCUCAGCAUGCACGGGGUCCUGGGUUCGAUCCCAGUACCUACA
rnacentral:tRNA from 1 species